rnacentral:rRNA from 1 species
UGUAAGCGUAUACCAAAGUUGUUGCAGUUAAAACGCUCGUAGUCGGAAUUUGGCAGUUCCGGAUGUGUGCACGUCGUGUGCGCACUUCGCGGGGAUUGCUUUUGUGGUCUUGCGUAGGAUGAGGCACUUUUAUUAGUGAACGUCCUCACGCAACCACUUUUUACUGUGAGAAAAUCAGAAUGCUCAAAGCAGGCAUUUGCCGUGAAUGUAUUAGCAUGGAAUAAUAGAAUAGGACUUGGUUCUAUUUUGUUGGUUUGUUGGGACUGAGUAAUGAUUAAGAGGGACAGUUGGGGGCAUUUGUAUUUCGGUGCUAGAGGUGAAAUUCUUAGAUUACCGAAAGACAAACUGCUGCGAAAGCGUCUGCCAAGGAUGUUUUCAUUGA